AUUACCUUCUUGAGUUGUGGCUCAGACACUACAACAGAGCUCUGUCACCUCUUUCUAAAAGCUGGGAAAUGGUUAUUGUCAACGCCAGCCCCAUUUUGGAGGCACCUGGUUGCAGGGGACCACAGCUAGGUGAGUCACAACUGGGUGUCUUCAUCAGGGGGUUUACAAGGGAAGACAGACUAGUGAUUUUAGAACAAUCAGCAAUCAGGGCACAUUGGCAAGCAAGCACAGAGCAAGAUUUAUUUUAUAAAAAAGAGCGUUUAUGUUUGGUUCAAACAAAAAUGUGAGAACGGCCGAGGCUUUGUAGGAGUUCACCACGAAAAAGGAAAUUACAUGGUAAAAAAAAAAAAAAGAAAAAAAAGAAAGAUAAAUUCUACAUUUUUUUCUUUAUAUAAUUAUUUAGCUGGAGCAAAAGUGAAAGUAAAAGUUGGGGCAAGGAAACACAUUCAGAUGUGGGGAAGUGCUCCCAGAACGUGGGACAGCGAGUGGCGGAGUCCGAUUUUGAAAUGCUCCAGAGAGAAUAUGAUCUUCCUGGACCCCACAGUGGGAUGCACCACCCCAAAAACCAUUGGCAAAGUUUGGUGACAGAGGAAUCAUUUUGUUUCUUUUUAUGCAUAAAGAACACACAGAAAGGAACACUUGCUUUGAGGAUCCUGGUAAAUCAGGCUGGUGUUCUGUUGGGGCAGUGCAGUUUGGUACAAGGAAGUGGUCACUGCUGACCCCACGGAGAGGCUGGGAAAAGCGUAGAUGAGGUGACUGGAGAAUAAAGGAGGCUUUUUCUAGCUCAAGGUUUAAAGGCAGCCACAGUGUCUGUAGCAGAUGAAUUAGUGUGACCUUGGAGAUGGCCCCUUGACCCGAAAGUGGUAAAGAAUGCCAUACUUUUCAUUUUGCAGGACACCUCCUUGGGGGAGGCUGGGCUGGUAGCAUAUUUCUACGGGCUUAUGGUUCUGUGGAUAGAAUUGUAGGGCUGGAUAAAAGCACUGGCUAUUUUGAGUUUUUAAGCAAUCAGGGGGCUAUUAGUGGGGUGGUCUUUGGGAACCAAGGCCAAAUCUGCAGGACAGCAGAGUAAUUCAGAUCAUCUAUAUUGUAUGGCUUGAAAUGGGAUAGAAAGCCAUCUUUAUUCAUUCAUUCAUUGCAGGCAUGAACUCUUUAAACAAAUAUGAGUGGCCUAUUUGAGAUCAUGAUAGAAAUUGUAGGGAAUAGAGAAGCAACCAAGACUGACCCUAUAAGGAGCUGUCACCAACUCCCUUUGAAUCAAUUUUAACUUUUUUCUUUUUUUUGGGACAAGGCUUUCACCCAGGAUGGAGUGCAGUGAUGCAAUCUCGGCUCACUGCAACCUCUGCCACCUGGGCUCAAGCCAUCCUCCCACCUGAGCCUCUCAAGUAGCUGGGACCACAGGCGCACAUCAUCACACUCGGCUACUUUUUGUAUUUUUUGUAGAGAUGAGGUUUCAUCAUAUUGGCAAGGCUGGUCUUGAACUCGUGAGCUCAAGCGAUUUACCUGCCUCAGCCUCCCAAAGUGCUGGGAUUAUAAAUGUAAGCCAUCAUGCUUGGCCUGAACCAAUUUUAACUUUUAAAAAUCACCUUUUCUUUGUUAUACAUUCAAGAAGACACUGAGAUGGGCAUUAGACUAACAUCAAGCUAAGUUGCAUAUAAUUUCAUAAACUCUGAGCUUUCUUGAAUAUAUUUUUUAAUUUGUGGGAAUUCCUUGUACACCUGAGCCCCAAAGACACAGCAAACUCCAGUCAUAGCUUGGCAAUUAAAUGAAGCAAUGAAAGAGAGAGAAAAAAAAUGAUAAAAACAAGUCAUUCCAGUUGGCAGAGCCUCACAGUACAGUUCUCAAAGUGGCUGUUCAUCAGAAAUGAAGUUGGCACCAUCUUAGGGACAUUGGAUCAAGUCAGUCCAUUUGUGACAAGGACAAAAGGAGUAGUAGUCUUUCCUUUUGUGAUGUGUGACAGCACUGCUCACCCUGGAAUUAAUGGGGUUUAUAUAAUCCAGAUUUGCUGAUGUCCUCAGGGCCUGGAAAUUUUCCUUAUUUGUGUUCCAAUUCUAAAGGUUUCCUGAGAAUAUUCUAGAAGUAGUCUUUCAUGGUAGCCAUCAAUCCUGGCUACUGAUUGAAGUCAACUGUAGAGCUUAAAAAAUGACAGAUGUCCACCAAAGGCCUAUGAAUUAGAAUCUGCCUUAUUUUAUUUUAUUUUAUUUUUUCGAGACGGAGUCUCACUCUGUCACCCAAGCUGGGGUGCAGUGGCACGAUCUCAACUCACUGCAACCUCCGCCUCCCAGGUUCAAGCGAUUCUCCUGCCUCAGCUUCCUGAGUAGCCAGGAUUACAGGCAUGCACCACCGCACCAGCUAAUUUUUGUAUUUUUAGUAGAGACAGGAUUUCACCACGUUGGCCAGGCUGGUCUCUAAUUCCUGACCUCAGGUGAUCCACCCACCUCGGCCUCCCAAAAUGCUGGGAUUACAGGCUUGAGCCACCACCCCUGGCCUUAUUUUAUUUUUAAUUAAUUGUUGAGCUUGAAUAUUCAGUGAUUGAACAGGGAUUAAAUAUCCCAGCAUAUCUAUGGUGGAAC
rnacentral:lncRNA from 10 species